AGUGAACGCUGGCGGUAGGCCUAACACAUGCGAGUCGAACGGCAGCACAGUAAGAGCUUGCUCUUACGGGUGGCGAGUGGCGGACGGGUGAGGAAUACAUCGGAAUCUACUUUUUCGUGGGGGAUAACGUAGGGAAACUUACGCUAAUACCGCAUACGACCUACGGGUGAAAGCAGGGGUUCUUCGGACCUUGCGCGAUUGAAUGAGCCGAUGUCGGAUUAGCUAGUUGGCGAGGUAAAGGCCCACCAAGGCGACGAUCCGUAGCUGGUCUGAGAGGAUGAUCAGCCACACUGGAACUGAGACACGGUCCAGACUCCUACGGGAGGCAGCAGUGGGGAAUAUUGGACAAUGGGCGCAAGCCUGAUCCAGCCAUACCGCGUGGGUGAAGAAGGCCUUCGGGUUGUAAAGCCCUUUUGUUGGGAAAGAAAAGCAGCAGGUUAAUACCCCGCUGUUCUGACGGUACCCAAAGAAUAAGCACCGGCUAACUUCGUG
rnacentral:rRNA from 1 species